rnacentral:tRNA from 1 species
GGGGCUGUAGCUCAGUGGUAGAGCACUUGCCUCGCAGGAGUAAGGCCCUGGGUUCAAUCCUCAGCACCA